UGAAGGCGGGUGUGCCCGAAAGGGAAUCGGAACACAGGUGCUGCAUGGCUGUCGUCAGCUCGUGUCGUGAGAUGUUGGGUUAAGUCCCGCAACGAGCGCAACCCUUGUCCCUAGUUGCUACGCAAGGGCACUCUAAGGAGACUGCCGGUGACAAACCGGAGGAAGGUGGGGAUGACGUCAAGUCCUCAUGGCCCUUAUGGGUAGGGCUUCACACGUCAUACAAUGGCCGGUACAGAGGGUUGCCAAGCCGCGAGGUGGAGCCAAUCCCAGAAAGCCGGUCGUAGUCCGGAUUGCAGUCUGCAACUCGACUGCAUGAAGUCGGAAUCGCUAGUAAUCGCGGAUCAGCAUGUCGCGGUGAAUACGUUCCCGGGUCUUGUACACACCGCCCGUCACACCAUGGGAGUGGGGUGCACCAGAAGUAGGUAGGCUAACCGCAAGGGGGCCGCCUACCACGGUACGCUUCAUGACUGGGGUGAAGUCGUAACAAGGUAGCCGU
rnacentral:rRNA from 1 species